rnacentral:rRNA from 1 species
GUGCCAGCCGCCGCGGUAAUACGGAGGGUGCAAGCGUUAUCCGGAAUUACUGGGUUUAAAGGGUGCGUAGGCGGUUAUGUAAGUCAGCAAGUGAAAUUCCACAGCUUAACUGUAGGGACUGCUUUUGAUACUGCAUGACUUGAACCAAGAUGAGGUAGGCGGAAUGUGGCAUGUAGCGGUGAAAUGCAUAGAUAUGCCAUAGAACACCGAUUGCGAAGGCAGCUUACUAGACUUGUGUUGACGCUGAGGCACGAAAGCGUGGGGAGCGAACAGGAUUAGAAACCCGAGUAGUCC